UUACGUAUGUGGUACACGGUGAGCGGUUC
rnacentral:sRNA from 1 species